rnacentral:rRNA from 1 species
GACGAACGCUGGCGGCGUGCCUAAUACAUGCAAGUAGAACGCACAGUUUAUACCGUAGCUUGCUACACCAUAGACUGUGAGUUGCGAACGGGUGAGUAACGCGUAGGUAACCUGCCUGGUAGCGGGGGAUAACUAUUGGAAACGAUAGCUAAUACCGCAUAAUAUUGAUUAUUGCAUGAUAAUUGAUUGAAAGAUGCUAUUGCAUCACUACCAGAUGGAACUGCGUUGUAUUAGCUAGUAGGUGAGGUAACGGCUCACCUAGGCGACGAUACAUAGCCGACCUGAGAGGGUGAUCGGCCACACUGGGACUGAGACACGGCCCAGACUCCUACGGGAGGCAGCAGUAGGGAAUCUUCGGCAAUGGACGAAAGUCUGACCGAGCAACGCCGCGUGAGUGAAGAAGGUUUUCGGAUCGUAAAGCUCGGUUGUAAGAGAAGAACGGGUGUGAGAGUGGAAAGUUCACACUGUGACGGUAUCUUACCAGAAAGGGACGGCUAACUACGUG